CUUGGUUGAUCCUGCUAGUAGUCUUAUGCUUGUCUCAAAGAUUAAGCCAUGCAUGUGUAAGUAUGAACUAAUUAUGGCUCAUUAAAUCAAUUAUAGUUUGUUUGAUGGUAUCUACUACUCAGAUAACCAUAGUAAUUCUACAGUUGAAGCAUAUAACAAACCCUUGCUUCUAGAAAGGAUGCAUUUAUUAGAUAAAAGGUUGACACGAGCUUUGCCCUUUGCUCUAAUCAUUCAUUAUAACUCGACAGAUCGCACGGCCUUUGUGCCAGUGACGCAUCAUUCAAAAAUUUACCCUAUCAACUUUUGAUGGUAGAAUAGUGGCCUACUAUGGUGGUGAUCGAUAACGAAGAAUUAUGAUUAGAUUCUGGAGAGGGAACCUAAGAAAAGGCUAACACAUCCAAGGAGGGUUGCAGGUAAAAAAAUUACCCAAUUUUGACAUGAAGAGGUUGUGAUAAUAGAUAACAAUAUCGGGCUCUAUGAGUCUAGUAAUUGAAAUAAAUACAAUCUAAACCCUUAAUGAUGAUCCAUUGGAGGACAAGUUUGGUGCCAACAGCCAUGGUAAGUCUAGCCCUAGUAGCAUAUAUUUAAGUUAUUAUAGUUAAAAAACUUGUAGUUGGAACUAGGGUUGGGUCAUUUGAUCCACCUCACGGUAAGCACCAGUCUACUUGUCUUUAUAACCAAUGAUGCGCUCCUGACCUUAGCUAGCCAGCUUAUUCCUCUGGCGAUGUUACUUUGUAAAACUUAGAGUGCUCAAAGUAGGCCUAUGUUUGUAUACAUUAGCAUAAGAUAACAUCAUAGGAUUUUGGUGCUAUUGUGUUGGCCUUUGGGAUUAAAGUAAUGAUUAACAAAGAUAGUUAGAGGUAUUUGUAUUUUAUAGUCAGAGGUGAAAUUAUUGGAUUUAUGAAAGAUGAACAACAGCGAAAUCAUUUACCAAAGAUGUUUUCAUUAAUCAAGAAUGAAAGUUGGGAGCUUGAAGUUGAUCAAAUACCAUCCUAGUCUUAACUAUAAAUGAUGUCGACCAGGGAUCAACCAAUGUUACUUUUAGGACUUCGUCGACACCUUAUGAAAAAUCAAAGUUUUCGGAUUCUAAGGAGAGUAUGGUUUCAAGGCUGAAACUUAAAGGAAUUGAUGGAAGGGCACCACCAGGAAUGGAACUUGUAGUUUAAUUUAACUCAACACAAGGAAACUUAUCAAGUUCAUACAUAAUAAGGAUUGACAUUCUAAGAGCUCUUUUUUUAUUCUAUAAGUGGUGGUGCUUGGCUGUUCUUAGUUGGUAGAGUGAUUUAUCUACUUAAUUCUAUUAACAAACGAGACCUCAGCCUAUUAACUAGCUAUGAGGAGAUGAUCCUUAAUGGCUAGCUUCUUAAAGGGACUAUGGUUGCUUAGACCAAGAAAGUUUGAGGUAAUAACAGGUUUAUGAUGUCUUUAGAUGUUUUGGGCUACAUGUGUGCUACACUGAUGUAUUCAACAAGUCUAUAGCCUUAGCUAACAAGCUUGGGUAAUCUUUGAAAUUUCAUCAUGAUAGGCAUAGAUCAUUACAAUUAUUAGUCUUCAACGAAGAAUUCCUAAUAAGUGCGAGUCAUCAGCUUACGUUGACUACAUCUCUACCUUUUGUACACACCUCCUGUCACUCCUACCAAUUGAAUGGUCCAGUGAAAUGUUCAGAUUGUAGUGACAUGGACGGUUCACUACCUGUGAUGUUGUGAGAAGUCCACUAAACCUUAUCAUUUAGAAGAAUGAGAAGUCAUAACAAGGUUUCCAUAGGUGAGCUUGUAGAAG
rnacentral:rRNA from 1 species